GGGUUGUGAGGUUAAGCGACUAAGCGUACACGGUGGAUGCCCUGGCAGUCAGAGGCGAUGAAGGACGUGCUAAUCUGCGAUAAGCGCCGGUAAGGUGAUAUGAACCGUUAUAACCGGCGAUUUCCGAAUGGGGAAACCCAGUGUGACUCGUCACACUAUCAUUAACUGAAUCCAUAGGUUAAUGAGGCGAACCGGGGGAACUGAAACAUCUAAGUACCCCGAGGAAAAGAAAUCAACCGAGAUUCCCCCAGUAGCGGCGAGCGAACGGGGAGGAGCCCAGAGCCUGAAUCAGCAUGUGUGUUAGUGGAAGCGUCUGGAAAGGCGCGCGAUACAGGGUGACAGCCCCGUACACAAAAGCGCAUGUGCUGUGAGCUCGAUGAGUAGGGCGGGACACGUGGUAUCCUGUCUGAAUAUGGGGGGACCAUCCUCCAAGGCUAAAUACUCCUGACUGACCGAUAGUGAACCAGUACCGUGAGGGAAAGGCGAAAAGAACCCCGGCGAGGGGAGUGAAAAAGAACCUGAAACCGUGUACGUACAAGCAGUGGGAGCCCCACCACUAAGCCAGUGGUGAACUCCACAUACGCAUCCUUUGCUGAGGAUACGGUUAACGGAGCGAAAGCGACGUUCAACCGCAAAAGAAGCAGAGGGGGCUUAGUGGUGGGGUGACUGCGUACCUUUUGUAUAAUGGGUCAGCGACUUAUAUUCUGUAGCAAGGUUAACCGAAUAGGGGAGCCGGAGGGAAACCGAGUCUUAACCGGGCGUUAAGUUGCAGGGUAUAGACCCGAAACCCGGUGAUCUAGCCAUGGGCAGGUUGAAGGUUGGGUAACACUAACUGGAGGACCGAACCGACUAAUGUUGAAAAAUUAGCGGAUGACCUGUGGCUGGGGGUGAAAGGCCAAUCAAACCGGGAGAUAGCUGGUUCUCCCCGAAAGCUAUUUAGGUAGCGCCUCGUGAAUUCAUCUCCGGGGGUAGAGCACUGUUUCGGCUAGGGGGCCAUCCCGGCUUACCAACCCGAUGCAAACUGCGAAUACCGGAGAAUGUUAUCACGGGAGACACACGGCGGGUGCUAACGUCCGUCGUGAAGAGGGAAACAACCCAGACCGCCAGCUAAGGUCCCAAAGUCAUGGUUAAGUGGGAAACGAUGUGGGAAGGCCCAGACAGCCAGGAUGUUGGCUUAGAAGCAGCCAUCAUUUAAAGAAAGCGUAAUAGCUCACUGGUCGAGUCGGCCUGCGCGGAAGAUGUAACGGGGCUAAACCAUGCACCGAAGCUGCGGCAGCGAACGUAUCACUUAAAGCGAUUCAGCGGGUUACGAUUGACGGAGCGAAGCGACGUCAAAGCGUAUACAAAGUCGAGUCGGUUUAAGGAUACGUUCGUUGGGUAGGGGAGCGUUCUGUAAGCCUGUGAAGGUGGCCUGUGAGGGUUGCUGGAGGUAUCAGAAGUGCGAAUGCUGACAUAAGUAACGAUAAAGCGGGUGAAAAGCCCGCUCGCCGGAAGACCAAGGGUUCCUGUCCAACGUUAAUCGGGGCAGGGUGAGUCGACCCCUAAGGCGAGGCCGAAAGGCGUAGUCGAUGGGAAACGGGUUAAUAUUCCCGUACUUGGUGUUACUGCGAAGGGGGGACGGAGAAGGCUAUGUUGGCCGGGCGACGGUUGUCCCGGUUUAAGCGUGUAGGUGUGUGUUCCAGGUAAAUCCGGUUCACUUUAACACUGAGGCGUGACGACGAGGCACUACGGUGCUGAAGCAACAAAUGCCCUGCUUCCAGGAAAAGCCUCUAAGCAUCAGGUAACAUCAAAUCGUACCCCAAACCGACACAGGUGGUCAGGUAGAGAAUACCAAGGCGCUUGAGAGAACUCGGGUGAAGGAACUAGGCAAAAUGGUGCCGUAACUUCGGGAGAAGGCACGCUGACACGUAGGUGAAGUGAUUUACUCACGGAGCUGAAGUCAGUCGAAGAUACCAGCUGGCUGCAACUGUUUAUUAAAAACACAGCACUGUGCAAACACGAAAGUGGACGUAUACGGUGUGACGCCUGCCCGGUGCCGGAAGGUUAAUUGAUGGGGUCAGCGCAAGCGAAGCUCCUGAUCGAAGCCCCGGUAAACGGCGGCCGUAACUAUAACGGUCCUAAGGUAGCGAAAUUCCUUGUCGGGUAAGUUCCGACCUGCACGAAUGGCGUAAUGAUGGCCAGGCUGUCUCCACCCGAGACUCAGUGAAAUUGAACUCGCUGUGAAGAUGCAGUGUACCCGCGGCAAGACGGAAAGACCCCGUGAACCUUUACUAUAGCUUGACACUGAACAUUGAGCCUUGAUGUGUAGGAUAGGUGGGAGGCUUUGAAGUGUGGACGCCAGUCUGCAUGGAGCCGGCCUUGAAAUACCACCCUUUAAUGUUUGAUGUUCUAACGUGGACCCGUGAUCCGGGUUGCGGACAGUGUCUGGUGGGUAGUUUGACUGGGGCGGUCUCCUCCUAAAGAGUAACGGAGGAGCACGAAGGUUGGCUAAUCCUGGUCGGACAUCAGGAGGUUAGUGCAAUGGCAUAAGCCAGCUUGACUGCGAGCGUGACGGCGCGAGCAGGUGCGAAAGCAGGUCAUAGUGAUCCGGUGGUUCUGAAUGGAAGGGCCAUCGCUCAACGGAUAAAAGGUACUCCGGGGAUAACAGGCUGAUACCGCCCAAGAGUUCAUAUCGACGGCGGUGUUUGGCACCUCGAUGUCGGCUCAUCACAUCCUGGGGCUGAAGUAGGUCCCAAGGGUAUGGCUGUUCGCCAUUUAAAGUGGUACGCGAGCUGGGUUUAGAACGUCGUGAGACAGUUCGGUCCCUAUCUGCCGUGGGCGCUGGAGAACUGAGGGGGGCUGCUCCUAGUACGAGAGGACCGGAGUGGACGCAUCACUGGUGUUCGGGUUGUCAUGCCAAUGGCACUGCCCGGUAGCUAAAUGCGGAAGAGAUAAGUGCUGAAAGCAUCUAAGCACGAAACUUGCCCCGAGAUGAGUUCUCCCUGAGACUUUAGGUCUCCUGAAGGAACGUUGAAGACGACAACGUUGAUAGGCCGGGUGUGUAAGCGCAGCGAUGCGUUGAGCUAACCGGUACUAAUGAACCGUGAGGCUUAACCUUACAACGCCGAAG
rnacentral:rRNA from 1 species